AAUAAAUAAAGUAAAGCGAGUGCGGGAAAAUAAAUAAAAUAAAGACAAGUAAUAAAAACCUGCUCCAAUCGGAGGGUUGAAUAAAUUGCAAAGCGGAAAUGAAAAUGGCGGCAGGAUUAACUUCCUUCCAAAGUGCUCCAAACUCGAUUACAGACUCUAUCACAGACUCGAUUACACAAUUGUGGUAACACUCCAAUGCGAAGCGAUU
rnacentral:lncRNA from 1 species